CGCUUCUUUUUCCACCGGAGCUUGCUCCACCGGAAAAAGAAGAGUGGCGAACGGGUGAGUAACACGUGGGUAACCUGCCCAUCAGAAGGGGAUAACACUUGGAAACAGGUGCUAAUACCGUAUAACAAUCGAAACCGCAUGGUUUUGAUUUGAAAGGCGCUUUCGGGUGUCGCUGAUGGAUGGACCCGCGGUGCAUUAGCUAGUUGGUGAGGUAACGGCUCACCAAGGCCACGAUGCAUAGCCGACCUGAGAGGGUGAUCGGCCACAUUGGGACUGAGACACGGCCCAAACUCCUACGGGAGGCAGCAGUAGGGAAUCUUCGGCAAUGGACGAAAGUCUGACCGAGCAACGCCGCGUGAGUGAAGAAGGUUUUCGGAUCGUAAAACUCUGUUGUUAGAGAAGAACAAGGAUGAGAGUAACUGUUCAUCCCUUGACGGUAUCUAACCAGAAAGCCACGGCUAACUACGUGCCAGCAGCCGCGGUAAUACGUAGGUGGCAAGCGUUGUCCGGAUUUAUUGGGCGUAAAGCGAGCGCAGGCGGUUUCUUAAGUCUGAUGUGAAAGCCCCCGGCUCNACCGGGGAGGGUCAUUGGAAACUGGGAGACUUGAGUGCAGAAGAGGAGAGUGGAAUUCCAUGUGUAGCGGUGAAAUGCGUAGAUAUAUGGAGGAACACCAGUGGCGAAGGCGGCUCUCUGGUCUGUAACUGACGCUGAGGCUCGAAAGCGUGGGGAGCAAACAGGAUUAGAUACCCUGGUAGU
rnacentral:rRNA from 1 species